rnacentral:lncRNA from 1 species
CUGGAUUCGUACACACACUCUUCGGGAUGACCUGCCUAUGCCAUGAAGCUGAGGAUUGGUAGCCCUUUUAGAGGAACACGUGCUUCCAGACCAGGUAUAUGCUUCCUAUUUUGUCCCAAGCCACCCUAUAUGGCCCACUCAUUUAUGUUAUUUGCAUAUCCAUAUAAAUAGUAAGUUUGCAGUCUCUGUCAUUUAGUCAUCCCAGACAACAUAUGUUUUCAUCUGGGAUUAGUCCAUAAAUAUUCUGAUACUUAGUUGCUAUGGGGUGAUAUUUAGUUGCUAUGCUGUGACGAUAAUUGACACAAGUCAUAAAAAGUAACUUAGCAGGCUAAGUGAAAUUAUAAUAUUUCAGUUGUUAUUGCCAUUUUAGAUCAAUAAACAUAAAGUUUGUGGGCAGGUUUUGACUCAGAAUGUGUCUUAAAUUCGAAUUAUCCCCAGGAGGGUUGCUAUUUUGAGUGUUUAAAAAAUCUAAUUAAAUUAAAGAAACGUUUGGAAAUUGCCUGUAGUACUUGAACAAGC